rnacentral:rRNA from 1 species
AACGAACGCUGGCGGCAUGCCUAACACAUGCAAGUCGAACGAGACCUUCGGGUCUAGUGGCGCACGGGUGCGUAACGCGUGGGAACCUGCCCUUAGGUUCGGUAUAACUCCCCGAAAGGGGUGCUAAUACCGGAUAAUGUCUUCGGACCAAAGAUUUAUCGCCUUUGGAUGGGCCCGCGUUGGAUUAGCUAGUUGGUAGGGUAAAAGCCUACCAAGGCGACGAUCCAUAGCUGGUCUGAGAGGAUGAUCAGCCACACUGGGACUGAGACACGGCCCAGACUCCUACGGGAGGCAGCAGUGGGGAAUAUUGGACAAUGGGCGAAAGCCUGAUCCAGCAAUGCCGCGUGAGUGAUGAAGGCCUUAGGGUUGUAAAGCUCUUUUACCCGGGAUGAUAAUGACAGUACCGGGAGAAUAAGCUCCGGCUAACUCCGU